rnacentral:rRNA from 1 species
GAUGAACGCUAGCGGGAGGCCUAACACAUGCAAGCCGAGCGGUAUUUGUUCUUCGGAACAGAGAGAGCGGCGCACGGGUGCGGAACACGUGUGCAACCUGCCUUUAUCUGGGGGAUAGCCUUUCGAAAGGAAGAUUAAUACCCCAUAAUAUAUUGAGUGGCAUCACUUGAUAUUGAAAACUCCGGUGGCUGGGGAGGGGCACGCGCAAGAUUGGUUAGUUGGUGAGGUAACGGCUCACCAAGUCAAUGAUCUUUAGGGGACUUGAGAGGGUGAUCCCCCACACUGGGACUGGGACACGGACCAGACUCCUACGGGAGGCAGCAGUGAGGAAUAGUGAACGAUGGGUUAGCGCCUGAUCCAGCCACCCCGCGUGAAGGACGACGGCCCUAUGGGUUGUAAACUUCUUUUGUAUAGGGAUAAACCUACUCUCGUGAGAGUAGCUGAAGGUACUAUACGAAUAAGCACCGGCUAACUCCGUG